UAGGGAGUUUUCGGCAAUGGGCGAAAGCCUGACCGAGCAACGCCGCGUGAGUGAUGAAGGUCUUCGGAUUGUAAAGCUCUGUUACGAGGGAUGAACAGUCACUUCAGGAAAUGGGAGUGGCCUGACAGUACCUCGCCAGAAAGUGACGGCUAACUACGUGCCAGCAGCCGCGGUAAUACGUAGGUCACGAGCGUUAUCCGGAAUUAUUGGGCGUAAAGAGUGAGCAGGCGGCAUGGCAAGUCUGAGGUGAAAGCGUGGGGCUCAACCCCAUACAGCCUUGGAAACUACCAAGCUAGAGUGCGUGAGAGGUAAACGGAACUCCAUGUGUAGCGGUGAAAUG
rnacentral:rRNA from 1 species